rnacentral:misc_RNA from 1 species
GAGGCACGCUUUUAUGCAGCUGAAGUUGUAGACGCUCUUGAAUAUAUACAUAGUAUGGGAUUGAUUCAUCGAGACAUUAAGCCAGAGAACCUGCUUCUUACUUCAGAUGGACAUAUUAAAAUUGCAGACUUUGGCAGUGUAAAGCCAAUGCAGGAUAGCAGAAUAACAGUCCUUCCAAAUGCUGCAUCAGAUGACAAAGCCUGUACUUUUGUGGGAACAGCCGCUUAUGUACCUCCUGAAGUUUUAAAUUCUUCUCCUGCGACUUUUGGAAAUGAUCUUUGGGCACUUGGCUGCACAUUGUAUCAAAUGCUUUCAGGAACUUCUCCGUUUAAAGAUGCCAGUGAAUGGCUCAUCUUCCAGAGAAUCAUUGCCAGAGAUAUUAGAUUCCCAAAUUAUUUUUCAAAUGAAGCCAGAGAUAUUAUUGAUCAGCUGCUGGAUGUUGAUCCUAGCAGAAGACCUGGUGCUGGACCUGAUGGUUAUGCUUCCUUGAAAAAUCAUCCUUUCUUUAGUGGGAUCGAUUGGGAGAAUUUGAGGUUGCAGACCCCUCCAAGGCUUGCCAUGGAGCCAAAAGCCCCGUCAACUCAUAGCAGUGGUGAUGAGCAAGAUCCUUCAUGGAAUCCAUCACACAUUGGAGAUGGUUCAGUUAGACCUAACGAUGGAAACGGUGCUGCUGCAUCAGUUUCUGAAGCUGGUAACAGUAUCACCAGGCUCGCAUCUAUCGACUCCUUUGACUCAAAAUGGAAGCAAUUUUUAGAUCCUGGUGAAUCCGUGCUCAUGAUCUCGAUGGUGAAAAAG